rnacentral:rRNA from 1 species
GACGAACCGUCCUAACGUUGUUCGGAUUCACUGGGCGUAAAGGGUGCGUAGGCGGCGCGGUAAGUCGGGUGUGAAAUCUCGGAGCUUAACUCCGAAACUGCAUUCGAUACUGCCGUGCUUGAGGACUGGAGAGGAGACUGGAAUUUACGGUGUAGCGGUGAAAUGCGUAGAUAUCGUAAGGAAGACCAGUGGCGAAGGCGGGUCUCUGGACAGUUCCUGACGCUGAGGCACGAAGGUCAGGGGAGCAAACGGG